GGUGAACAACGACCGCAAGCAUUUAAUAUAUAGAAUAGCACCACAUCUACAACACACCACUGAAACAUGGUUCACUAGCUAUUGCCUGGGUCACAAUUGCUCUUAUCCAUCGGGCAGCGCCCGGCCGAUCGAGUAUCAACAAAACACUGGCCGAUGAAUCGGAACAAACGUGAAUCAGGGAUAACUACGUUCAUUGUGUUUAUUCAUUGUUCAUUCAAUGGGGACUGAAUAAAAGCUAUAAUUACACAAUGCACAUGUAGUCUAAUGGCUGGAUGCCACGAUCAACAUAGUCAAUAGCCGUGACGAGCAAACGCAAAGUAACAGUCUCGCGCAUAUAACCAAUAAAACAUGUCAUUAUGGCUUUAAUUUCCGCCUGUUACAUGAUACUUUUCGUAAGACUAUCGCAUUGUAUAUGUCAUGUAGUAUGUGUUGGGAUAAGCUCAGUUCAUUUCAUUACGUUUAUGCAUAUGUAAAGGUACAGCCAACGUUCACAAGAUAGAGAAAGGGAGAGAGAUGUGACUGUGACGUAUCGAAUCAGAAGAAGCUGUUUUAACAUGAGAGUAAUAGGUCUACGUAAACUAUCGUGGCUCGCAGGCGUAGUCCUCACGUUGAUAUUAUUAGAAUUUGUGAACCUUCACAUCAAUACAGCAACGGAAAAUUGGACCAAUGAACUCCCAAGGAACCAAAUUUAGUUAUUUGGAGGAAGGUGAAGAUGACAAAAUUAGUAUAGAGCCACUCAAAUUCGAAGCCCAGUCUGAAACAAAUUACACAUUUGAUGAAAACUUUGCUGCAAGAUGGCCUUCGUCUAUUAGUUGGCAGAAAACUAAAGACUCUAUUGAAAUGUAUAUUCUAUCUGCGUUUUAUGACGAUAGGCCAUCUUUGGGUUCAAGAACUGCAGCGGUACAAGUGCUGGCACUGUCCGAGCAGCCGUCUGUCGGAGUUCCCGCCCAAGGAGAUAUAUACUGCCAUCUAUGGGGCACUUCUCAGAAACCACUUGUCGUAAAAGCCCAGCGUAAUUUACUCGGAAUUGAGAGGAUGAAGAGAUAUUUAACAUUUCAUAAUAAAGGUUUCAGAUCAUAUAUUUGGAGCUGCAAAAUUAAGCGGGAUACAAAAAUACCGGUGUUUGUUUCUAUUAGUUACAGGACGAAUAUAACGACAUCUUUUAUGCCCGUCCAGAUACCGACAAAGCCCAAAGUAAAGCAAGAAUUUGCCGUUUGUCAGAGAUACUUUGGUCAUGUCGACCCUUACCUUAUUAUCGAGAUGAUGGAGUUAUAUAAAAUACUAGGCGUUUCAAAAUCUAUCAUAUAUAUCACAAAUUUAUCACCUGAGACGUCCAAGGUUUUGCUGCAUUAUUCGCAAGAGGGCUUCAUGGAGGUCGUCGAUUUUCAGACACCGUUUGAAAAUUAUCCUCGUUUUCCACCAAUGCAUAAACCAAACCACAUUAGAAUUCUUCAGGUCCAUUCUUACAAUGACUGUAUGUAUAGGAACAUGUAUAAAUACAAGCAUAUCAUUUUCACAGACCCCGAUGAGAUCAUCAUACCGAUGCAACAUGCAACAUACUCCGAUAUGAUGAAAGAAAUGAAGCUAGAUCUUGGCUUUGACGUACCAACGCCAUAUUUAUUCAAAAAUGUUUUUUUCUUUCAACAUUUCCCGCAAGAGGAAUCUGAGCCUGCUCAAGUGAGGUCAUUGCGAUUUCAAACUCGCCUGGCGCCGGGAAAUCCAUUCCCCGCAGUCAUAAAGGUAAUCCUCGAUCCAAUGUCGUGUCUUGGCUUACACAUACACCGAUGUUGGGUACAUACGCGUUUAGCCAAGCACAACUCGAUCGUCAAACCAAGUGUCGCAUUAAGUUUCCAUUAUAGAAAGUGUCACUUUGAAUUAGAAGAACAGGGAAAGUGCGAACAAUUCCUCAAUGAAACUAUAAGGGAAACAGCGAUGGUCAGCUUCAAAGAGAAACUGUUACCAGCCAUGCAACAACAGGUGGACGCUUUGGGAUUGGCCCCAAUUGGUUGAGGGACGGAUUUUAAUAUGGCCUAUAUACUAGUACUAUAGAACAUGUGGAAUUGGUAUAUGAUGUUGAUCGUUUUUCAAUACCAACCAAGUGUACAUAUAUUGUCAAAAAUUAGAACAUUAAAGAACAGAACAGAAAAAAUAUUUUAUAAUAUAACAAUUUUAAUGCCUGAAACAUGUGUUGAUUGUUCAGUGGGUAACAGAUCAGAGGCCUCAUUAUCAGUUAGUCGCAGAAUCGCAUGCGUAACGCUACGCAACGCAGCGCAACACCACGCAACGCAGCGCAUAUAUUUCCCAAAAAUUAUAUUAUCACUAUGACUCAACGUAGUUCUGACGCAAGAUAAUAGAUUUUCAGAACGCAAGUGAACAAAAACUUGCGAUAUGUCGCAAAUCAAAACGCAAACAUAGUGCAACUUUAGCACCCCAGUCACAUUUGUCGUACGGAGGCCGUGCGUCGACCGCAGAUCAAUUAAAUCAGUGAAUUUCUGCGGCGAGCGUAGAAAAACUACGCCCGCCUUGUGGUCUCCGUACGGCGUAUCCAGUUUUUUACAGGCCGCAGGGUAGCCGUAGAAAUUAUAACUCGGAGUUAUAAUAUUUGUUCAUUUCUGCGGUCACCGUAGAAAU
rnacentral:misc_RNA from 1 species